rnacentral:rRNA from 1 species
UGGGGAAUAUUGCACAAUGGGCGCAAGCCUGAUGCAGCCAUGCCGCGUGUAUGAAGAAGGCCUUCGGGUUAUAAAGUACUUUCAGUCGGGAGGAAGGUGUCAAGGUUAAUAACCUUGGCAAUUGACGUUACCGACAGAAGAAGCACCGGCUAACUCCGUGCCAGCAGCCGCGGUAAUACGGAGGGUGCAAGCGUUAAUCGGAAUUACUGGGCGUAAAGCGCACGCAGGCGGUUGAUUGAGUCAGAUGUGAAAUCCCCGGGCUUAACCCGGGAAUUGCAUCUGAUACUGGUCAGCUAGAGUCUUGUAGAGGGGGGUAGAAUUCCAUGUGUAGCGGUGAAAUGCGUAGAGAUGUGGAGGAAUACCGGUGGCGAAGGCGGCCCCCUGGACAAAGACUGACGCUCAGGUGCGAAAGCGUGGGGAGCAAACAGG